UACAGAGGUCUCAAGCGUUGUUCGGAUUCAUUGGGCGUAAAGGGUGCGUAGGCGGCGCGGUAAGUCGGGUGUGAAAUCUCGGAGCUUAACUUCGAAACUGCAUUCGAUACUGCCGUGCUUGAGGACUGGAGAGGAGACUGGAAUUUACGGUGUAGCGGUGAAAUGCGUAGAUAUCGUAAGGAAGACCAGCGGCGAAGGCGGGUCUCUGGACAGUUCCUGACGCUGAGGCACGAAGGCCAGGGGAGCAAACGGG
rnacentral:rRNA from 1 species